rnacentral:rRNA from 1 species
GACGAACGCUGGCGGCGUGCCUAAUACAUGCAAGUUGAGCGCUGAAGGUUGGUACUUGUACCAACUGGAUGAGCAGCGAACGGGUGAGUAACGCGUGGGGAAUCUGCCUUUGAGCGGGGGACAACAUUUGGAAACGAAUGCUAAUACCGCAUAAAAACUUUAAACACAAGUUUUAAGUUUGAAAGAUGCAAUUGCAUCACUCAAAGAUGAUCCCGCGUUGUAUUAGCUAGUUGGUGAGGUAAAGGCUCGCCAAGGCGAUGAUACAUAGCCGACCCGAGAGGGUGAUCGGCCACAUUGGGACUGAGACACGGCCCAAACUCCUACGGGAGGCAGCAGUAGGGAAUCUUCGGCAAUGGACGAAAGUCUGACCGAGCAACGCCGCGUGAGUGAAGAAGGUUUUCGGAUCGUAAAACUCUGUUGGUAGAGAAGAACGUUGGUGAGAGUGGAAAGCUCAUCAAGUGACGGUAACUACCCAGAAAGGGACGGCUAACUACGUG